rnacentral:rRNA from 2 species
GUGAGUAACCUGCCCCUGACUCUGGGAUAAGCGUUGGAAACGACGUCUAAUACUGGAUAUGACGACUGGUCGCAUGGCCUGGUCGUGGAAAGAUUUUUUGGUUGGGGAUGGACUCGCGGCCUAUCAGCUUGUUGGUGAGGUAAUGGCUCACCAAGGCGACGACGGGUAGCCGGCCUGAGAGGGUGACCGGCCACACUGGGACUGAGACACGGCCCAGACUCCUACGGGAGGCAGCAGUGGGGAAUAUUGCACAAUGGGCGAAAGCCUGAUGCAGCAACGCCGCGUGAGGGAUGACGGCCUUCGGGUUGUAAACCUCUUUUAGUAGGGAAGAAGCGAAAGUGACGGUACCUGCAGAAAAAGCACCGGCUAACUACGUGCCAGCAGCCGCGGUAAUACGUAGGGUGCAAGCGUUGUCC